AGUACGUGUUUUUUGCCAAUUCAGAAAACUUUGGAGCUAUAGUUAAAUUGAGUAUCCUUAAUUAAGUUUCCAUUGGUUCUUGCUUUUUUAAUUGUUUUUGCUGUUACGUACACAUGAAAAGUACUAGUAAAUCUUAAACCAUCUGAUUGAGCACAAGAACGAACAGUGUAUGGAGGUAAGGAAAGAUGAUUGUUAUCAAGUAGUUUUCCUUUUACUUUUUGAUACUUACAUCAGUUUAAUAUUUAAAUGUUCUUAUUAUGAAGGUCACUCCCAAAACACUGAGCAAUUAAUAUUGAUUGCAGUAGCAAGUCUGAUUUAACUAUUUAUGAACAUCUUUCUACUAAAUUUAACCACAAUAACUUUUAACAUUUUUUAAUUGAGAUUUGUACAAUAUUCACACUGAUGAUAUAAUGCUAUAUAGUUAAAUGACAGAACCUACCUUUGCUAUUAUUUCAACACAAUUUAUGGUGGCAGGGACAUGUUUGUAAAUGAUGAUAUUAAGUUUUAACAGUUCUUUGACAAAGCUAUUGGGAUUAAUGUUCAUUGAUCCCGGUUCCUUCCGGUGAAGGCAACUUCAGUUUUGUUUCUUGUCCAGGUUCUAAGCUUUUGUACACAAGGCAUGAAUUCUAUAGCUUGGAAUUUGACUUUAGUCUUUUAUUUGACAUGAUUUGGUUUCUUCUUUUGCAGUCAGACCUCUUCACCUUGGUAGAUGGAUCUGUUAUUCGCAAUAGAGUGAGGGCUAAUCCUGAAAACCCUUCUAUUGAAUUAGGGACUGAAAAAUCUAAGAUCUAUAUUACGGAUUACUGUGUUAUGUGAUAACUAACUAUAAUAUUAACUGUCUUAACCUCCUUCACAGAUUAGCAACUUCUUGAGUUCUUGUGCUGCUUCAAGUCAAUUCCUAGUAUUGUUGAGCUUGACAGUCUAAAAGUGGUUGGCGAUGUAUGGUUCGGAGUUGAGUCCAUGUCGUCCUCAAGGGAAAUGUCGAGUAUCAUAGCGAAAUCUGGUGUAAAGCUGAAAGUUCCUGAUGGAGCCGUAACUGUGAACAAGGUAUUUAACAGGACAUGGAUUUUAUUUUUCCGCAGGGAUGUUGUCAACCGACAUGCUUCUCACGCCACCUAGUGGCAUAAGGCUCGUUAUUAUUGUAGGGAUUUUUUUGUCACAGAAGUUGUUAAACCCAACAUGGUUGACCUGUGAGGAAGCUAAUGAGUUUUCAUGUAUCGGAUCAGAUGUAUGCAAUCAAAGAUAGUGUUGUGUUAUUUCUAUGUA